GGUCUCGUAGCUCAGCUGGUACAGCAUGCGCUUACAAAGCGUAAGCGGCGUCCGUGCGUGGGUCCGAAUCCCGCAGAGGCUA
rfam:Echinostoma caproni strain Egypt genome assembly, scaffold: ECPE_scaffold0007799